GGCUAACCAGCUCGAGAACUGUGAGUUUCUCUUUGUUUAUUUCUGUAAACAGUUUAACUAACAGUUAUAUCCAACUUUUGCCAAUGUAUUUUAUGACACUGCAUUAGCCACCCAUGUGAUGAUCGUCGCUUUGGUAUUUUUUGUGCAGCGCCGGGUACUGGUACUGUGCCAACUGCAUCCACCAGGAAUGUGACACCAAGGCACCCAGUGGACGGAAGUCAAACAAAUCCCCAUGAUUUUAAAGAGUUUAUUUUAACGGCCUACCCAAAACUCCGACAAGGGGGGGGAUUUGAGUUGCUCAGGAUUUCAGGAACAACUAGGAGUCGCAAUCUCAUCCUCAUCCCUUGUCCCAAUGAGGGAUACUAUGUGAGAUAUUUAAAAGAUCCACAAAUACAGAUUGGCCAUGCAGUUAUUUUCAUCCGGCCGCUCCAGAGGAACCUCGAUCUCGAGCCUGCAUGUCAACCAGAAGGCAGCAAUUGCAUGGUUGGACCACCUGCAAAAUGCAUUUCCUGUGGAGAGGACUUUCCUUUUUCCGAAAUAAAAGAUCAUAGCGAUGAAUGCAUGAGACCACCACAGAGCAGUGGUGAGGGAGAGAGAGGCACAGAAAGGGCCAGCUCCUCCCGCACUCCAGAUAUGUUUGUGCGUGCAUUGAGGAGACGAGAGGAGAGUGAGCCGGCGAGGGCCAGCAGCUCAACCAUGCCACCUCAGGGAGA